rnacentral:tRNA from 1 species
GGUGCCGUGCCCGAGCGGUCUAAGGGAGUGGCCUGCAAAGCCAUCAUUCGUGGGUUCGAAUCCCACCGGCACCUCGA